UGUGUUUUUAUGAGACACCAAUGCUGGGUAGAUAUUGUCCAGGAGGCGGUGAGAUGUGAGGGAUUGUAAGUGCUCACAAGGACUACUCAUGGGAAUUCUACCAAUCCAGCCAGUUUCUCGGAACGUAGGAAUCUAACCAGAAAUGAAGUAGCUGUCUUCCGGGGACGGUGACUUCAGGUAUUCACCAUGGUCCAGGGUUUGACAUACCGCCGGAGGAUGUCCUACAAUACAGCCUCUAACAAAACUAGACUGUCCCGAACCCCUGGUAAUAGAAUUGUUUACCUUUACACCAAGAAGGUUGAGAAAGCACCCAAAUCUGCGUGGGGUGUGUGCCCAGGCUGACUUCAAGGAGUUGGUGAUGUGAGGCCUAAAGUUCUAAUGAGGUUGUCUAAAACGAAAAAACACGUCAGCAGGGCCUAUGGUGGAUCCAUAUGUGCUAACUUUGUCCGUGACAGGAUCAAGCGUGCUUUCCUUGAGGAGCAGAAAAUCGUCGUGAAAGUGUUGAAGGCACAAGCACAGAGUCAGAAAGCUAAAGUUAAAAAUGAAGCUUUUUUGAGUAAUAAAAACUCAUUCUGUUAAAAAAAAAAAAA